GGGAGAUGAGCCCCAGGCCACAUCAGGACACCUCACAUACCCCUGGACCUGCCCUGCACCCACCUUGGAGAGCAGCAGCGAGUUGGUCAGGAAGCUGGACCCCAUAAAAGAGCUGGCGAGCAGGCAGGCACACCGGGGACCGCCUGUGGGAACCCCUGGGGCUGCGUCCGCCGUGGGAAGAUGCCAUGAUAGCAACUCGUGGUGUCUCCCCCACCCCGAGGCUGCGGUUUCACAACGUUUCCUCUGAUCUGAGCAUGGGUUUGCCACCGGACGAGACACCCCGCUUCCACACAACACCCCUCGCUGCAGCGUGAUCAAAGGAGCUGGAUCCGGUGGGUUUGCCACCACCGCUGGUCACUCUGUGGUUAGCCAAGGUGGGCGCCAGGGAAGCCCCCACCUUGGGAAUAAGGGAAUAAAGGCCUGGAAAACAGCCUGA